AGGAAGGUCCCCCACAUUGGAACUGAGACACGGUCCAAACUCCUACGGGAGGCAGCAGUGAGGAAUAUUGGUCAAUGGGCGCAAGCCUGAACCAGCCAAGUAGCGUGAAGGAUGACUGCCCUAUGGGUUGUAAACUUCUUUUAUAUGGGAAUAAAGUUUUCCACGUGUGGAAUUUUGUAUGUACCAUAUGAAUAAGGAUCGGCUAACUCCGUGCCAGCAGCCGCGGUAAUACGGAGGAUCCGAGCGUUAUCCGGAUUUAUUGGGUUUAAAGGGAGCGUAGGUGGAUAGUUAAGUCAGUUGUGAAAGUUUGCGGCUCAACCGUAAAAUUGCAGUUGAUACUGGCUGUCUUGAGUACAGUAGAGGUGGGCGGAAUUCGUGGUGUAGCGGUGAAAUGCUUAGAUAUCACGAAGAACUCCGAUUGCGAAGGCAGCUCACUGGACUGCAACUGACACUGAUGCUCGAAAGUGUGGGUAUCAAACAGGAUUAGAUACCCUGGUAGUCCACACAGUAAACGAUGAAUACUCGCUGUUUGCGAUAUACAGUAAGCGGCCAAGCGAAAGCAUUAAGUAUUCCACCUGGGGAGUACGCCGGCAACGGUGAAACUCAAAGGAAUUGACGGGGGCCCGCACAAGCGGAGGAACAUGUGGUUUAAUUCGAUGAUACGCGAGGAACCUUACCCGGGCUUAAAUUGCAAAUGAAUAAUCUGGAAACAGGUUAGCCGCAAGGCAUUUGUGAAGGUGCUGCAUGGUUGUCGUCAGCUCGUGCCGUGAGGUGUCGGCUUAAGUGCCAUAACGAGCGCAACCCUUAUCUUUAGUUACUAACAGGUCAUGCUGAGGACUCUAGAGAGACUGCCGUCGUAAGAUGUGAGGAAGGUGGGGAUGACGUCAAAUCAGCACGGCCCUUACGUCCGGGGCUACACACGUGUUACAAUGGGGGGUACAGAAGGCAGCUACCUGGUGACAGGAUGCUAAUCCCAAAAGCCUCUCUCAGUUCGGAUCGAAGUCUGCAACCCGACUUCGUGAAGCUGGAUUCGCUAGUAAUCGCGCAUCAGCCAUGGCGCGGUGAAUACGUUCCCGGGCCUUGUACACACCGCCCGUCAAGCCAUGAAAGCCGGGGGUACCUGAAGUACGUAACCGCAAGGAGCGUCCUAGGGUAAAACUGGUAAUUGGGGCUAAGUCGUAACAAGGUAGCCGUACCGGAAGGUGCGGCUG
rnacentral:rRNA from 1 species